rnacentral:lncRNA from 1 species
UCCUCGAAUGGCAACUGUAUGUGGGUAUCGCUAACAUAGUUAUGCAUUUUUUUUUCCAGAAAUCUAUUUUAUAAGAAUAUAUUAAUGGCAGAGGGGUAGCUUGCGAGUAGAAAUGAGGAAAUUGAUUAUCGCAGUUGGGUAAAGCUGCAAUGAAGAGGAGCAAAGGCUUCUCUCUGAAGUGUCUUGUGAAUAAGAGAAAUAUAAGAACUCUAUUGGCAUUUGCGGUUAGACCCACAAAAUUGACCCAUGUAUUGCAAUUCGUCAGAAAACAGAAUUACAGGUAAAGGCAGCCUGUAAGAGCACUAUUCACUUCCUGUAGACUUUUCCUCUUUUUAGCAACUCAUUACGUACACUGCCUUGUGAGAAAAAAGUGUGCAUAAUAAUGAUUAUAUGUGUAAUUUUAAGACGAUCUUUCGGUUGUCGGAAAGAGUGAAUUGAACAGGACAUGCAGAAAGAUGGUUGAAGUUCCAUAGAAGCUGCUGUGGUGGCCUACACAUGGAAGAUUGCAGGGAAGAUUAUUAGCGUAGGAGUUGGGAAAAAUUAAAAAAUGAGGUAAUGAUGAUGUAAAAGCAUGUGUCGUCGUCUUAAGUUUUGAGGCAAAUUUUUUUUUUUAAAAGCGGGAUGUGGGCAAGUUGUCAUGACGACAGGGAUGUUCUGCUGAUGAAGUCUUGCUCCUCGUUGUCCAAUCAGAUCGUGGAGCUAAAACUGCAGCUUGAACAGGAGAGGACGCACCUAUUCCAGCAGCACAAUGCCUAAGAAGGACAACCCAGUCCGGGACCACCAACAGAAAACUGACAAUUUGGAAAAGCUGCUAAGGCCACAAUGGUUCAGCGCAAAAGGCGAAUUCGGGAAUAGUGUGCGCGGGACAGAGAGCAGGUUCACUGUGCCUCAUCCUGCCUUCCCUUCCCCCCGGAGCCCCUCCUCCCCAGUAUUCCUAUCAUGGGGUCUCUGUGGGAAGCUAUUUGGCACGCUGACCCCCAACUGUGGAUGUAUUUGACUCUUCAAACUGGAAGAUGAAAUGUAUAAUGUCAGCAUGGAAGCCAUCAUUAUUUGCUUCUGGGUGUAAAUCGGCAGGUGGCUCUGUACGGGGGAUGGCGGUCAAAUGGCGGCAUCAGCACAAAGAUAGCCAUUUCAGAUGAGAGUCUGACCUCAGUGUUUUUGCCAAGCAAUAUUAUAGAUUUGCAAACCAGUAAAGAUGUGGUGGCACACGAAUGUACCAUUUAGUUGUCUUUUUCUAGGAAUACGUUUACAUGGCCAAUAUCCAACAUACUAUCAUUCAAAAACGAAAACAAAAAAAAAAAAACAUAAAGAUUAAUUUAUUUGAUCUGUUAUUACUUCUGGACAGUGUUUCCUCACUGUUUUUUGUAAAGCACAAUCUCCACAGUAUGAAGUAAAUUAUCUUAUUGUUCUUGUUCAAGUGGGCAUAGCUUGGGACAAAAUAAAGUAUACAUCAGCAUGUUUACGGAAAUGAUU